AAUAAUAAUAAUAAUAUAAUCUGGUUGCCGACCUACAAUAAAACUUAAAGGAAGGAAGUGCUCAGUCAGGUGUCCAGACAGCAGAAAGAAGACAACAGACUGGCUGAAGAUGAGUGAUAUGCAGAAACAGGACAGACCAGAGUUUCCAGGAUCCAGCUGUGACCUGUCUAAAGACAGACCUCUAGACUGCAGUGAUGAACCUGGACCCUUAGACACAAAAGUUCAGCGCCACAGACAGAGAGCAGAGUCUCCAGUGUCCAGCUGUCUGUCUAUGAAGAGUGAUUGGUCCAAAGAUUCUCCUCCAUACUUCAGUAAUGAACCUGGACCCGCU